GACGAACGCUGGCGGCGUGCUUAACACAUGCAAGUCGAGCGGUAAGGCCCUUUCGGGGGUACGCGAGCGGCGAACGGGUGAGUAACACGUGGGUGACCUGCCCUCAGCUCUGGGAUAAGCCUGGGAAACCGGGUCUAACACCGGAUAUGACUCCAUGACGCAUGUUGUGGGGUGAAAGCCUUGUGCGGCUGAGGAUGGGCCCGCGGCCUAUCAGCUUGUUGGUGGGGUGAUGGCCUACCAAGGCGACGACGGGUAGCCGGCCUGAGAGGGCGACCGGCCACACUGGGACUGAGACACGGCCCAGACUCCUACGGGAGGCAGCAGUGGGGAAUCUUGCGCAAUGGGCGAAAGCCUGACGCAGCGACGCCGCGUGAGGGAUGACGGCCU
rnacentral:rRNA from 1 species